rfam:Atopobium deltae strain DNF00019 genomic scaffold Scaffold125, whole genome shotgun sequence.
UGCGGGGUGGAGCAGUCUGGUAGCUCGUCGGGCUCAUAACCCGAAGGUCGUUGGUUCAAAUCCGGCCCCCGCGA